rnacentral:rRNA from 1 species
CAGGCCUUGACAUCUGGACGUAUAUGGGGCAAUGCCCAUAGCCCUUCGGGGCGUCCAAGACAGGUGGUGCAUGGUUGUCGUCAGCUCGUGUCGUGAGAUGUUGGGUUAAGUCCCGCAACGAGCGCAACCCCUGCCUCCCGUAGCCAGCAGGUGAAGCUGGGGACUCAGGAGGGACUGCCCGGGAGGACCGGGAGGAAGGCGGGGAUGACGUCAAAUCAUCAUGCCCCUUAUGGCCUGGGCUACACACGUGCUACAAUGGCGUAAACAAAGGGGAGCGAGCCCGCGAGGGUGAGCAGAUCCCAAAAAUAACGUCCCAGUUCGGAUUGCAGUCUGCAACUCGAGUGCAUGAAGCUGGAAUCGCUAGUAAUCGCGGAUCAGAAUGCCGCGGUGAAUACGUUCCC